GGGCCUAUAGCUCAGCGGUAGAGCGCUCCGCUCAUAACGGAGAUGUCUGGGGUUCAAAUCGUCCCAUAGGCCCACCA
rnacentral:tRNA from 1 species